UACAGAGGUCCCAAGCGUUUGUUCGGAUUCAUUGGGCGUAAAGGGUGUGUAGGUGGCGCCGUAAGUCGGGUGUGAAAUUUCGGAGCUUAACUCCGAAACUGCAUUCGAUACUGCGGUGCUUGAGGACUGGAGAGGAGACUGGAAUUCAUGGUGUAGCAGUGAAAUGCGUAGAGAUCAUGAGGAAGACCAGUGGCGAAGGCGGGUCUCUGGACAGUUCCUGACACUGAGACGCGAAAGCGUGGGGAGCAAACAGG
rnacentral:rRNA from 1 species